CCUACGGGAGGCAGCAGUGGGGAAUAUUGCACAAUGGGGGAAACCCUGAUGCAGCAACGCCGCGUGAGUGAAGAAGUACUUCGGUAUGUUAAGCCCUAUCAGCAGGGAAGAAGAAAGACGGUACUUGACUAAGAAGCGCCGGCUAACUACGAGCCAGCAGCCGCGGUAAUACGUAGGGGGCAAGCGUUAUCCGGAUUUACUGGGUGUAAAGGGAGCGUAGACGGGUGUGCAAGUCUGAAGUGAAAGCCCGUGGCUCAACCGCGGGAGUGCUUUGGAAACUGGAUGGCUUGAGUACGGGAGAGGCAGGCGGAAUUCCUGGUGUAGCGGUGAAAUGCGUAGAUAUUAGGAGGAACUCCGGUGGCGAAGGCGGCAUGCUGGACAGAAACUGACGUUGAGGCUCGAAAGCGUGGGAAGCGAACAGGAUUAGAUACCCGGGUAGUC
rnacentral:rRNA from 1 species